ensembl:lncRNA
AUGAGGCGUCGGGAGGUGUGGGGCCGGGAGAACAUUUCUCUGCCUGGUUUCCUAGGCGGAGGCAGGUGUGUUGUCGGCAAAGACCCUCACUCAGGCCAAGUGUGUGAUGUCUCUUCUUCUUCCGCAGACGCCGAGCCCGGCACCCGGGAACCUGUUCCGGACGUGCCGCUCCCAACCAUGACUCCCAGCACCGAGGCUGACCACGACCACGACCACGACCACGACGCCGAGCCCGGCACCCGGGAACCUGUUCCGGACGUGCCGCUCCCAACCAUGACUCCCAGCACCGAGGCUGACCACGACCACGACCACGACCACGACCACGACCACGGUAGGGGCCCGUGUGCCUUGUGUCCUCUGCCCCUGGGAGCCCGCUGGGCUGCCGGGGCUCCUUGAGCGAGAACGGGCUUUCCUAUUGCCUCCGGGACCGGGAAGGUGUCGCCAUGCGAUUCCUUGUCCCGAAACGCUGGCCUGUGCUCUGGAGCUGCGGGGACGUCCUCGGGGCUCUGCCCGGGAAGGAUGUGCUCCCUGGGGAGAGAGGGGCCGCGGUGCGAGUCAGGCGCUCCGAGACGGGGCCGUGUGUCCUCCCGGGUUCUCUGGUUGGCUGCACGCUGCCUGGGCCUGUCCGCAGGUUGUCCGUUUCUCUGCGUGGUGGUCUGCUAAGCCGUGCGGGAGGGGCGUAGGCUUCCCCGCCCCCCACGUCUGCUCCCGCCAUGACCCCGGGGGUCUGGUGCAGCACGCCCAGCCCGCAUGCCUGGCGUUGCCACGGAGGCUGCGAGUGCAGAAGCCUCAUGGGACCCGGCGUGGAGUGCCCCACUGCCCCUGGUGGCCCAGUGUGCGCAGCGGACUUAGGCGCGGGCACGCUGGGCUCCGCGAGGAUGGUGCUCUGUGCCUCUGCCUCUCCUGAGACGUCCUUGCCUUCCUCUUGGCGUUGGCUGGUCUCCGAGCUCCCGGGACAGCGUCCAGGAGGCGUGGCCGCUGCCUGAGGACAAGUCCUCGAUGUGCCCUCUGACGCUGGCACGAGCGUGUUCUGGACCCGUGCCGUGCCCCCAGGCAGCUGGGGAGUUGUCUGCCGUGUAGUGCGGCGGGCCACCAGGAGAAUCUGACCCAGUGUCCUGGAUGGGCCAGUUCCCAGUCGUGCGCUCGUGGCCCAGACCAGACCCGGGCUGGUGUGUGGAGCCAGCCACGCGGGCCCGUCUGUCCUCCGUGCCCUGAGUGGGCGCAGAUGAGAGAGGGCGCGGUUGCUCCGUCCGCUUUUCUCCCCUCUCGCCCCCGUGCGGGGAGCCGUCCAGCGGGGCCUGGCUGGACUGAGCCCGUGCCGGACACGGUGCUCAGUUGCCGUCCUGGAGGGCCCAGAGGAUUGCUCGAGGUGUGCCCACCAGGCCCCUCCCCUGAG